rnacentral:sRNA from 1 species
UCACCGUGAGACUGGGGAUCCCACACAUCUGGGAGCAGAUGGGCUGUGCAAAGGGCGCGGCUGCUGAGGACAGGGCUGUGGCUGGAGAACCCGCUGCUUCCUGAAGCCGAGCCCCACCCUAAAGGACCGAGAGCACAGGCCAUGGGAGAGGAAUCGAGUAGGGAUGCAGAGCCUGGUGGCACUGUCCUGAGAGAGGAGGAGGCUGGGCAGGGCCCCGGUGCUGGAGAGGUGCCCUGCAUAUGGGACCUCUCAGAGGUGCAGAAGAGCUGUGUGCCCAGGUACCCCUGUCUCCUCUCCUCCUCCAGCCCCCAGCCUACUCUCCUAAUGGUCUGUGUCUUUCAGGGAUGAGAUUUACUGCCAGAUCUGCAAGCAGCUCUCGGAGAACUUCAAAACAAGCAGCCUGGCCCGGGGCUGGAUCCUGCUCAGCCUCUGCCUCGGCUGCUUCCCACCCUCAGAGAGGUUCAUGAAGUAUCUACUGAACUUCAUCGGCCAAGGGCCGGCGACCUACGGCCCCUUCUGUGCCGAGCGCCUGAGACGCACCUAUGCCAAUGGGGUGCGUGCGGAGCCCCCCACCUGGCUGGAGCUGCAGGCUGUCAAGUCCAAGAAGCACAUCCCCAUCCAAGUCAUCUUGGCCACUGGAGAGAGCCUAACCGUCCCCGUGGACUCAGCCUCCACAUCUCGGGAAAUGUGCAUGCACAUCGCUCACAAGCAGGGCCUCAGCGACCACCUGGGCUUCUCCCUCCAGGUCGCCGUGUACGACAAGUUCUGGUCCCUGGGCAGCGGGCGCGACCACAUGAUGGAUGCCAUCGCCCAGUGUGAGCAGAUGGCCCAGGAGAGGGGUGAGAGCCAGCGCCAGUCACCCUGGCGCAUCUACUUCCGGAAGGAAUUCUUCACCCCCUGGCACGACUCCCGGGAGGACCCUGUCAGCACCGAGCUUAUUUACCGCCAAGUCCUCCAAGGAGUCUGGUCUGGCGAGUACAGCUUCGAGAAGGAGGAAGAGCUGGUUGAGCUGCUGGCCCGGCACUGCUACGUGCAGCUCGGCGCCUCAGCAGAGAGCAAGGCUGUCCAGGAGCUGCUGCCCAGCUGCAUCCCCCACAAGCUGUACAGGACCAAGCCCCCAGACAGGUGGGCGAGCCUCGUCACUGCCGCCUGCGCCAAGGCCCCAUACACUCAGAAGCAAGUCACACCACUGGCCAUGCGAGAGCAGGUGGUGGACGCUGCCCGCCUGCAGUGGCCGCUGCUCUUCUCCCGGCUCUUCGAAGUCAUCACACUCUCAGGCCCCCGCCUGCCCAAGACGCAGCUGAUCUUGGCUGUUAACUGGAAGGGGCUUUGCUUCCUGGACCAGCAGGAGAAGAUGCUGCUGGAACUCUCUUUCCCAGAGGUCAUGGGUCUGGCCACCAACAGGGAGGCCCAGGGCGGGCAGAGGCUGCUGCUCUCCACGAUGCAUGAGGAGUACGAGUUUGUGUCACCCAGCAGUGUGGCCAUCGCUGAGCUGGUGGCCCUGUUGCUGGAGGGCCUGAAGGAGAGGUCCAUUUUCGCCAUGGCCCUGCAGGACAGGAAGGCCACAGAUGACACCACCCUCCUGGCCUUCAAGAAGGGGGACCUGUUAGUCCUCACAAAGAAGCAGGGGCUGCUGGCCUCUGAGAACUGGACCCUCGGCCAGAACGACAGGACAGGCAAGACGGGGCUGGUGCCCAUGGCCUGCCUCUACACCAUCCCCACGGUCACUAAGCCCUCGGCACAGCUGCUGAGCUUGCUUGCCAUGUCACCAGAGAAGAGGAAGCUGGCGGCUCAGGAGGGGCAGUUCACAGAGCCACGUCCUGAGGAGCCACCCAAGGAAAAGCUGCACACCCUGGAGGAGUUCUCCUAUGAGUUCUUCAGGGCUCCAGAGAAGGAUAUGGUGAGCAUGGCCAUGCUGCCCCUGGCCCGUGCCCGUGGCCACCUUUGGGCCUAUUCCUGCGAGCCGCUGCGACAGCCGCUGCUCAAGCGAGUCCACACCAACGUCGACCUCUGGGACAUCGCCUGCCAGAUCUUUGUCGCCAUCCUCCGGUACAUGGGCGACUACCCUUCUCGGCAGGCCUGGCCCACCCUGGAGCUCACCGACCAGAUCUUCACACUGGCCCUGCAGCACCCGGCCCUGCAGGACGAGGUCUACUGCCAGAUCCUGAAGCAGCUGACGCACAACUCCAACAGGCACAGCGAAGAGCGGGGCUGGCAGCUGCUGUGGCUGUGCACGGGCCUCUUCCCGCCCAGCAAGGGGCUGCUGCCCCAUGCCCAGAAGUUUAUAGACACUCGGAGGGGGAAGCUGCUGGCCCCCGACUGCAGCCGCCGAAUCCAGAAGGUCGUGAGGACAGGGCCCCGGAAGCAGCCCCCGCACCAGGUGGAGGUGGAGGCCGCGGAGCAGAACGUCUCCCGCAUCUGCCACAAGAUCUACUUCCCCAAUGACACCAGCGAGAUGCUGGAGGUGGUUGCCAACACACGGGUGCGGGAUGUGUGUGACAGCAUUGCCACCAGGCUGCAGCUGGCCUCCUGGGAGGGCUGCAGCCUCUUCAUCAAGAUUUCAGACAAGGUGGGCUGGGCUGAGGCUGGGCAGACGGUGGGCGGACGGGCAGUGAGCGAGGCCCUAGGUGCUGCCUGUGGGGGCCUCAGCCUACCAGGGGCACCCAUGCUGGACCAGGCUGCACGGCCAGGGCUGCUGGGACAGAGGUAGGUGGGGUCCUGGAGCAGAGCCAGCUCCACACGCCAACAGCCCACGCACAGCCGACUCCAGCGCAGCACCCAGGCCGUAGGCGGCCACUGGACCAGAACCCAGCAGGUUCUCAGGAGGACAGUCCCCGGAAGCCACCCAACUUCCCUGUACCUUCCCCUUCCCCAGGUCAUCAGCCAGAAGGAGGGAGACUUCUUCUUUGAUUCCUUGAGGGAGGUGUCUGACUGGGUGAAGAAGAACAAGCCCCAGAAAGAAGGUGAGGAGGCCUCUGUGGAGCUGGGGGAGGGCGUGGCUGGGUGGGUCGAGGGGGCACUGUCGGCCUCUGUGCGGCCCAUGCCCAUUCAUCCAUCCAUUCGUUCCCGUGUGUCCCUGGGUUGUGGGAACAACCAGGCCCUGGGGCCCGGCGGUGAGGGCCAGCUCAGGCAGAAACAGGUGGCUGCAUCUUGGAGUGAUGAAGGAUGCCCCGGGGCUGAGGGGCAUGACCCUCAUGGGCUGGGAGUGCGAGUCCAGGAACGUUCCUGGAGAAGGCAGCCUCUACACUAAUCUUGAAGGAAAAUGUGGGGACUGGGGAGGAAGAAGGGUGGAGGCUUUCGAGGCAGGGAGGUGGCAGGCGCAGGGUGGGGGGUGGCAGGGGAUCAGGGCUGGUGUACCUGCUGGGACAGGCUUGGUGCCCACUGCUGGCCCUCGCCCAGGGGCCCCCGUGACGCUCCCCUACCAGGUGUACUUCAUGCGGAAAUUGUGGCUCAACAUAUCCCCAGGGAAGGAUGUGAACGCAGACACCAUACUCCAUUACCAUCAGGUACCGGGCAGGCUGCCCUGGUGGGCACUGGGGCCACCCCCAUCUUCCCACACCUGUUCUGAGGCUGUAGAAGCCAGCAGGCCAGGGCAGGGCCAGCCUCAGCCCUGGGUACCAGCCCAUGUGGUAGGCAGACCAAGCCCCUGAGGGCUCUGGAACCAGGAGCAGAGGGCAGCAAUGUUUGGGGACAGUGACUGCACUGGCACCUGCAGCAUGACUUGGAGAGGGUGGGACAGAGGGUCCUGUGACCCAUGGAGCAGUGACCGUGGCCUGCAAGGCCAACCACAUGGGUGGAGCAGGCCAUCACCUCCACGCAGAUGUCAGGGGGCCCUGCCCUGACUCAGGGUCAUUCCCCUGGCCUGAAACUCUCUACCCUGCUCAGUCCGUCCUGGAUGGAGUGGGCUAAGCCCCAGUUCCCCACCAUCUGAGCGGGAAAGAGGUUGGGGGCGGGUGGGCCGCAGCCGGAGACCCAGCAUGCCCAGUGUGUCCACCACCCAGGAGCUGCCCAAGUACCUGCGCGGAUUCCACAAGUGUUCGCGGGAGGAUGCCAUCCACCUGGCGGGCCUCAUCUACAAGGCCCAGUUCAACAACGACCGGUCCCAGCUGGCUAGUGUCCCCAAGAUCCUGAGGGAACUGGUGCCUGAGAACCUCACACGCCUGAUGUCCUCGGAGGAGUGGAAAAAGAGCAUCCUUCUAGCCUAUGACAAGCACAAGGACAAGACAGUGGAGGAGGCCAAGGUGGCCUUCCUGAAGUGGAUCUGCCGGUGGCCCACCUUCGGAUCCGCCUUCUUCGAGGUGAAGCAAACCUCGGAGCCUUCCUACCCGGACGUCAUCCUCAUCGCCAUCAACCGACAUGGGGUUCUGCUCAUCCACCCCAAGACCAAGGACCUGCUCACCACCUAUCCCUUCACCAAGAUCUCCAGCUGGAGCAGCGGCAGCACCUACUUCCACAUGGCGCUGGGGAGCCUGGGCCGUGGCAGCCGCCUGCUGUGCGAGACCUCCCUGGGCUAUAAGAUGGACGACCUGCUGACCUCAUAUGUGCAGCAGCUCCUGAGUGCCAUGAACAAGCAGCGGGGCUCCAAGGCCCCAGCCCUGGCCAGCACCUAGCAGCGGAAGCUGGCGUGUCUGCUCAGGUGCCCUUCCCGACCUCUAGCCUGGCGGCACCUUCCCAGGCCCUCUCAACCCAGGGCCUGUCCUCGGCGGGCAGCCUUCCAUGCUGCCCCCCAUACAAAGCCCACUCAGCCCCGCAGGCGGCCCCCUCUGUCCUGGGCGCUGCCCAGGGAGGCCAAAAGACGGGCCCAGAAUGGGGUCGGGAGUCUCGGACCCCCAGGCUAUUGGUGGAUGACUGAGAGGACACCUCCCAACCCCACCCCACCAGAAUGUUCAAUAAAAACUCCUGGAGCAGGAGAA